GCUCCAAUAGCGUAUAUUAAAGUUGUUGCGGUUAAAAAGCUCGUAGUUGGAUUUCUGUUGAGGUUGGGUGGUCCUUCUCCGAAGGCGUAUUUGCUUCGAUCUCGGCAUCCUUCUGAAAGACUGUGCUGCCUUCAUUGAGUGGUCAGGAUUUCAGGACUUUUUACUUUGAGGAAAUUAGAGUGUUUACGGCAGGCAGGCGC
rnacentral:rRNA from 1 species